UAGGGGAUCCUUUCGGAGAGUUUUUAGCGGCAUUUUAAGGAAGCGAAUUUAUAUCCCGCUCCCUCAAGGCAAAAUUGAAAUUGUGUCUUGAAAAACAAUUUUGUGCCCACUCGUGUUUCUUAACGUGACUCCCGAUAGGAGAAUUUGCUGAACCAUCUGGCUCCAGGAUCUUACACUAUUUACAGAACGGACCCGUAGAGUUAUAAAUUACUCUCUACCUAUUAUUUUAUUUCCCAUCUUUCUCCCUAAACAGUUUUUUUUUCAUUUUUUCGGCUCCCAAAACCGAGGUGUGGUUUACAUUUCUGUGGGUAUACACUUUUCCAUCAGUAGACUGCUGCCUGAUCCUUUGUCUCUGAAGUCUGGUCUCAAUGCCAUCGGUCCGGAGCCAAGAUGACUCCAGCUGCCUGGAAUUCCAUUCAUCUCUUUGGGAAGGGACGUCAGCGGCGGCGAUGCUUCUCCAGCUGUGGCCCUGCGUGAGCAGGCUUGGCUCUGAGUCCAGGGAUCCAGAAAGGCAGGAAAUGGAGACAGGGGCCAACUGAGGGUGUUCAUUUCACAGUAGACAACUGCCCCAGCUCCUGAAGGCCACUCCCAUCUAGAAGUCACCCUUUAUGAUUUCAGCUCUCUGGCAUGUCGACCACAGGAGGCCAUCGGAAUGGAAGGCCUGAUCUGUUCAGCAUGGUUGUCACCAGAAGGAACACUCUGGAAAGCCACCAAGCUGUGUUUGUGCUUCACGCCCUCCAUUUAUGACAGACAACCUGCUUCAGGAUGAGGUAGCCAAAGCCUAUUUGGCCACUGGAAAAUAAAAGAAAAAAAAAAUCCUGCAAUGUUGCAUUAAAGCCAUGGCGCACCCAGGCCUGAAGAGUGGUUUGCAAGCUGCCGGGUUUCCUCAGGCGCUGGCAAGGUGAGUGUUAUUGGAACCUGUCUGUGUCUCAUUCUAAGCCCCUGUCUCCUAUUUUCUUCUCUGAAGGGAAGGUGUGAAGCAUGAGAGCGCACAUUUCUUUCUUUCUUUCUUUCUUUCUUUCUUUCUUUCUUUCUUUCUUUCUUUCUUUCGUUCUUUCUUUCUUUCUUCGGACAUUCCCUCAUCUGCAGACCAUUAGCCAAUGGCUUGGUGUCCUCCUACCUCGCUACUGGGCCAGGAGAGAAGAAAUUGAAUGUAUAGGCAGAAAUGAUGCCUUGAUUUAAAAAGAACACAGCCAAAUGAAACCUGCAGGCCAGUCCUCAGGCUGGUACCUGUUGGAUGAUGCUUUGUACGAAGGGACCCACAUUGCUUGGACUGUGAUGUGACCUUCCUACUGAGGCCCACAGACAUGAAAUUGGGAAAAAAAAACCAGUCAUUCCAAGUGGUACAUUUCCUUUGAUAGUUACUCUACCACCUGAGAGAGCCUUGGAGCCUCUGUUUACACUGCAGCUGAGCUGAGUAAGCAAAAAUGCAGUAGCUUAGCUCUGCCCUUCAGCCUCAACUGGCAUAAAUGAGCCAGCUGUCUGAUUUGUGAGGAUGUAUGUGGAUGCUAAACACUGUUGUCUGCUUCUGAGAUGGAGGCUCACUAAGAAUGGGAACAUGCCUCUGUGAACAUACAGCUCUCAGGGUAUAUUCCUCCUCUCCAUAGAUGUGUCUGUUGUCUGGGAUGACCAAUGCUGGUUCCUGGUCUGACUCAGGUAUGGGAUGGCCUCUAUUCCACUUGUCAUACUGGGAGAGUAACAUGAAUCGAGUCUUAAUUGAUGUAGUGAUGAGACUCUGUCAAUUGGUGAUUUAGACAGUAGACAAUGUCCUGUUUGUCAUGGCUGUCCUUCUUCAUGAAGGACAUGUUGGAUAAUGGAUACAGGAAGUUAGUUUUCAGAUUUUUAGGAUGCCAGGCACCCCAUGGGUUGCUGUAUCCAUCCUCCCUCAUCUACGGGGCAUUAACUGCCCAUGUGGAGAAGUUCUAACCCCUGAAAGGAAGUUUGCUUUUCUCAUUCUGGUUAAAACCCCUCCAGCUCUUACCAAAGGCUGUCGUUAGGAUGUCCAAAGAUGAAAAGAUGUGUAGAUGCCUAGCUGUGGUGGUGUGGAUAUAUACCAGGCUCUUUCCCAAGGAUUUUGUCUCCCUCUGAGUCUGUGAAAUCAUUUUCUCAUACUUUGGCCUUACCUUCCUGCCUCUUUCCUAAGGCUACUUUGGAGAGCUUUCAAUUCCAUUGUCCAUUGAAGUAAAUUCUGAUUCUAAUUGAGAGGGAAGUGUGGCAGAGUCACCAUAUUUGGAUAGAUUUGUUUUCCUUUGAAUUGAGAAGGAAGACGAGAGUGAGAAGGAGCCAGUGAUCAUUAACCCGAGUUUCUGCUCAGCUUGUGAAAGGACAUUUAGAAUUGCCAACUCAAAGAUGCUCCAGGCCAGAAGUAAUGCUUCUGUCUGAUAAGCCACGUGGCCCUGUAUGGAGGUGUCGAUAUGGUUCAAGAAAUACUAAACUUACAGCCUGAUGCUCUGGGUUCUUGGAACGUUUGUCCAUUAUUAGCUGUGUGACUAGCAAGUCACAAUCUUACUUGAGGCACUGUUUCCUCCUCUGUCAAGUGUGGAUAAAAAGCUUGUCUGGAUUACCUUAUGGGGUUAUUCUGAAAAUACAACAGGAUAUACUAAUCUGUGUUCAUGGCAGGGAUGUUGGAUAUGAAGUUACACUUGAAAGUCAAAUGUUCCAUCUCCUUCUAAGAGAUUAUUAUUCAACACAAUGAAUAGUUUUUUCCAGUCUGUGACAGGUACCAUUGACUCUCUGAUUGAAUGGUAGAUGAAGAAUUUGGCUCUCAUUUAGAGGAUGUGCCGGACAGAGAGGCUUGAAGAAGAAAGGAUCUUGAGAUCCAUGCUCCAGGAAGCAGCCUCAUAAGAUGGAUGCCUCUUCCACUGUGAGACGAGAUGGGGGACCCACAGAAGCUGGUGGCUUGAGCCGUUGGAUGCAUCCGGUUUUCCUGUCAUCAGCUUUUCACCUCAUUACCUCCUGCAGCUUUAUGUUACUAUUUAGAUUAUUAUUUUUUAAAACAUGAGGAUUUUUUUAAUGUUUAGAGUUGUGUAUUCAAUAAAUUCAAUAAACAGAUAAGCAGUGAUAUAGCAAAUACAGGCAUUAUAAAGAUUUUUUUAAAAGUAAAUGUCUGUUUAGAAUAAAAUGUUGUUAUAAAAGCCAGAAUUGGAUUCUAAUAAAACAAUUUAAUAAAACAAGGCACAAUGUUUUAAGGCAAAACUUAUAAAGAAAGUGUAUAAAGUUAAUAUGAUUCUAUUAAAAAUAUCCUUUGUGGGAAGAGGCACAAGAUUUAAAUAGCUUAUAAAUUUGAUACAAUAGGAUUAUAUCUUUUCCAAAAAACAAAAUCCACUGUUGAAUCUUAUAUCUGAGUUCCAUUUUAAUUGUGUACAUAUUUAUGCAGUUAUUUAUAAUACACAGACUUUAAGUACAGAAAACUAUGAUGUCAGAGCAGAGAUAAUAAUUUGACCAAAAUAAAAGGUGACAUCUUUUCAGCAUCUUUUGCUGGUCUUUGAAAGUCUUAACUUUAAAAAGUCAAGACUUGUUGUUUAAAAGACUUUUCCCAUUGGGUUUUUGUUUCUCACAGACACAAAGUGGGCUCAAAGUGUAACAUAACACAGGAGGAUUUUCUGACCUGGGAAUUUCUGCUGUGGUUGGAGCUAUCUGCUAGAAAUGACUUUCAUGACUUAACGGAUCCUGGAGGCAGGAACUAUGGAGGAGUGCUGCUAACUGGCUUGCUUUCCAUGGCUUGCUCAGCUUUGUUUCUUAUACAACUCUGGACCACUUGACCAGGGGCAGCAUCCCCCACAUCAAUUGUUAACCAAGAAAAGACCUCAUAGACUUGCCAAUAAGCCAAUGUGGUGGAAGCAACUCCUCAAAUGAGGUUCCCUCUUCCCAGGUGACUGUAGUGUCUAGUUGACAAAAACUAACCAGCACAAAACCAUCAUAGCAGGGAAGUCAGAGUUGCAGAUUGGAGGAACUGGUUACAUCACACCUAUCAUUGGGAACAAGGUUCAGUGAAUGUAUGCUUGCAAAUACUCAGGUGGCUUUCUCCUUUAUGCAGAGUUCAGGGUCCAGAUCAAAAUUUCCACCCAAUUUCAGGGUGAGUCUUUCCACCUCAACCAACCCACCUAAGACAAUCCUCACAGAUAAGGCCACAGGCCAACCCAGAUAAUUCCUCACCAAGAGGGUGACAAUAAAAGCUAACUAUACACCAUGACUCACUCCAUUUUGACUGCACACUGUAAGCAUUUUCACCAGGCUGGCACAUGAACAAAGGAACAGAGACUACCUCUGUGGGAAAUAUCUUGGUUUUCAAGUAAGAAGCUAGAGACCAAGGAAAUUGUUCUGCCUGGAAACUUUAAUCUCUCCAGUACUUGACACCACAUUGCUUAAGGUGAAUUUGGAAAGAAAUCUUUUCUGUUUGUCCGGUUUAGUUUUGGAGGGGCACAGAGACUGAAGGAGGAGGAACUGAACAGGACUCUUUAAAGCUCAGCAGCCGGCACUAUAGGCUCAUCACCAUGUGCCAAGAAACCAGACCAAGCACCUCUAGAACUCUGGAUCCACAGGGAAGAACUUGGCAGUCAUGUCUCUUGGAGCAAAAUAUGAAAUGUUCAAGGUAUUCUAAUAAUACUCAAAUAUCUCAGAGGAAGACACACCAAUUCAUUAGAUUUUGUACUGUGCACGAGACCCUGACCAUCCACUCGUUUGGGACCCUUGGGCAGAAAAGUGGAGGACACUCGAAACAAAUUACUGUGCUCCUGCCCCCACCACUGCCUCACUGUUCUUCUUGGUGACUUCCUCUCACUGAAACAAACGCACCACCAUCUCCACACUCUGGCUGACUCUACAGUCUCUAUGGGAGCAUCUCUAUAUCUCCACACACGUGCAAAGAUAAUGCUUUGCUGAAGAUGCCUUCCUGUCAAUGGAGCGGAGGAAGACAGAGGGGAGUGGCCUUUUAAGCCUUGUUGCACAUCAGCAAUGACAAGACUUGUGAGUAGAACACAGAGCCUGCUUUGUUCCUUGACUUUCGGAUCCUCAGCUGCUUCAACUGACAAUCCGCUGGUGCAGGACUUGGGGCUGGGGUGCCCUGCUCUGGCUUAAAUAGUGUGAGUAUCCUGGGAGCUGAAGAUAUGCAGACUAACUGGUCAGUAAGAACAAUCACUGCUUUCAUGGGAGUUGAAGACCUGAAAACAUGCCUGUGACUGUGUAGUUAGGCUCAAGUGUGUAUCAUCCGCCCUCCAACCUUACCCACCAUGACAGGGGCCCACCCAUCCCUCACCCAUGCAAGCUAUUCUGAAGGUAGCUUUGGGGAAAAUAGGUAUGGACAAGUGUGCUGUAUCCAUUGUGAGAUUUUCUAAUAAAGCAAUCUUCUAUGCC
rnacentral:lncRNA from 1 species